rnacentral:lncRNA from 1 species
GUCGGCCCGCAGCCCUCACCUGCCUGUGCUACUAGGGGUGAAAAACAUCACUGUGGUUUUCCCCGCUGAGGAGCUUGCAUUUUGUCUGACCUACUUUGCAAAAGCAAAAAGAUUAGCAAUAAGAAGGCGGUCGAUCAACAAGCCCUCCUCACCGAAGCUGUCAAGGUCCUUGGGACAUCACGGUCCCCGGUCUUAGGCGGCAUCAGACUACGCAUCCCCGGAAUCAGAGCAGACUGAGAGCGCCUGCAAGGAAAGCUGAGUCUAAGCCGCCUCUUCUGUCUCUUUGCGAGGCACUGGGGCCCCCUUUUCUCCCCGCAAUUGCAGAUGUAACGCCUGAGAUGCAUGGACAGCUGUUCUACCUGUUCCCGGUAGAAGUGUAAGAGAACUCGCCAUAACACACCAUGGAUGGACACUCUUCAUGCCUGUUGCUGUGUGGGUCGCUCAGAGAGUUCACCAGAACACUCGUUGCCAUCAUC